rnacentral:lncRNA from 1 species
GGACACCCAGACCAGUUCUUGUUUUGCUUCUCUAGAAAUGCAAAAUGUUGAAAAACUUUGAAGGCCAAUGUGUUCUUCCGAAGGCAGUCCGAUGCUCUCCCACUAGGCAGGCAGGACACAGAGGCCUGAAGCGCCAUGUGGUUGGACAAGGCCAGCUGAGCCAGAAGGCCACAGGAAGAUUAAGAGAAGCAAGGCCCCCAAGGGCUUGAGGGCUCAGGUUGGAGGCUGGGAAGUGAGACCUAGCUGUCUUCAUCCUCCUAGUCCUCAUCCUCAUCCUCUGGGAAGUGAGCUUACUUCUUUGGAACAUUCCAGUGCAGACACUGGGUCAGGUUCUCAAUACAGACCUUCACGGAGUGCAAACACAGAAAGAGGACAGCUGGUAUCAGGAGGUUGUGAUGCUGAUGCUGUCUCCAUGGCACAUUUCCUGCCUCUUCUGUCCAUCUAAAGACAGCCGUGCAGUGUGACAGCAUAGUCUUCAGCUAGACCACUGCGGGGAUCUCCAUCUGACAGAAUGAGAG